rnacentral:lncRNA from 1 species
AGCAGUCUGAGGUCAGCCGCCGAACGUGCUGACACCGAACACCUCACGUUGGUGCGUGCUGUGUGCCGCGCAGUUACCACAUGGGCGCCUUCUCGCUGCUGGACGGCAAGAACCUGCCGAUCGAGGAAGACGUGCGAGUGCCGUUCUUCAUCCGCGGGCCAGGCAUUCCGGCGGGGCAGGUGCGUUCGGCAGGUGGUGUGAUGUGCACCUGGGGAGAGCAAGCCAAUGACGCUGCUGCCGGCUGCAAGCCAGGGCGCCGCUAGCUACUUGCCGCUGCUACUGCCGCCCACGGACACACGUGUGCUACUGCCGCCCACGGGCGCACGUGUGCUACUGCGCGCCACACGCACUGCCCUGCACACGUGCCGUACACGCACGCGCAGGUGCUGCCCCACCAGAGCACCAACGUGGACCUGGCGCCCACGCUGCUGGCCCUCGCGGGUGAGGCAAACAGGAAGUUGCUUGCUUGGUCACCCGGCAACACACGCUGUGGCAUGCAGGCUUGACAGUACUGACAGCACAGCCCACAUGCACAAUCAACCUCAAGCACGUGCAAAUUGCAUGCGCACACCUACCACUCCCGCACCCCAUCCCACCCCCCCGACGCCGCCCACAGGCCUGCCCAUCCCGCCCGACAUGGACGGCCUGCCGCUGCCGCUGUCAGAGCCCCUCAUGCGCCCCGUGUACGAAGCACUGCUACAGCCGCCGCAGCAGCAGCAGCAGCAGCAGCAGGAGCCGCCGCAGCCGCCGCCUGCUGUGACGGUGGCGGCAGUGGCCACCGGGCCCUGGCAGCUGCGCGAGGCAAGCAUCAUGGAGGGCUGGAACGGCGACGGGUCGGACGAGAACGCCCGGUAUGCGGCCCACUUCAAAAGUGCGUGCGUGGCAUGCUUGGCGUGCGGUUGGAUGCGGCGUGGCAUUUUCAUUUCAGUGGGCCUUUUUGGGUGCGGCAUGCACGUGGCCACCUGCUGUGAUGGUGGCCUGCAUAGGACUUCAGAUUCAGCAGUCUGCAUGGUCAUGGGCAUGUGCGUGAACAUGGGGUUGCACGUGCGUGCCGGACGUGUACGGGUGUGUGUGUCCUAUCCCCGUCUUCACGUACCGGUGUUCCUCUUUGCGGGACCGCAUGCGCGCCAACCCGUAUCACGGGUACGUUUGUCGUACAAACCACGCGCGCCCCAACCUGUAAGUGUCCCUUCACGCCCACCCCGGACCGCGCAGCGCUGCGCCUGUGUACGGACACGCUGCUCCUGUCCGACAGCGCCUUCGGGCCGGCCGCGGCACGGCAGGUGCCUGUGCGGGCUGGCGGGCCGCCGCUGGUGUGCUACAAGUACACGGUGUGGUGCCAGGGCAACCGGGAGCUGUACGACCUGGCGGCGGACCCCUACGAGCUCAUCAACAGGUGUGAGAGGGUGGUGUUUUCGAAACUGCGCCAGCCUACAACCUGCAGGCUUGGCCUGCACUGCAAGUGUGCUUGCAUAACGCGCGUAAAUGAAUGUCUUGUGCAUGUGUGUGGCCCGCAGGAUCAACGAUGCAGCAGCCCGUGUCGUCGACCGGCUGGACGCGGUGUUGUCGGCGCUGGUGCACUGCAGCGGCGUCGCCUGCCGCAACCCCUACAGCCUGCUGCAUCCGGGCGGCGGCGUGCGCAAAUUCUCAAUGGUGCGGGCACGCACGUCGGGCCGCUAGGGGUCCUGGUAGUCCCUUGGUGUGGCGGUUGCCUCUUCCCUAUCACAAACUGGGGGCUGGGGCGCGCACCGGGGGGGUAUGGUAUGUAUGACGGCUUCGGCAUUGGCUCCGGACCUCAAUCAUCAGCUGUUGCCUGCAUUGCCCUGCGCCCCGUGCGCCUGCCGGCACGCCACACCUACGGUACACAGUUGUUGGCACCCGAGUAUGACGCCUUCUACUCGGGCCUGACCAAGCUGCGCAUCAAGACCUGCUCCAAGUUCUACAUCCCGGAUAAUGAGGUCACGUGGACUCAGCAGGUGGGUGGGUGGGUGGCUGGUGCGCACCACCUGCUGGACGCGCCUCACACCUGCAGAUAGACGUGCGCGCGCAUGUGCAAGGGAGCACGGCCCUAGAUAGGGCCCAGAAUGGCAGCUAGAGGAGACGUGUUGCCAACCCUAAUAACAUGGAUAAUGUUCGACAAGAUAGUUCUUGAUGGUCUACCGUAUGCAUGUUUUUGCCUCGCGCGCAGGGUGUUGGGUCGCGCACACGUGGACGUGGAUGAAGGCACGAAUGCGACAUUGCAGGUAUGGUAGGGUUACACGCGUGGAGGCACGGAGCUGUGUGCGGUCAGCUGGAUGCGGCAGUGAGAUUCGAUCCAGUACAUAGACACGGUGAGAUAGGCACGCAACCGUGUGGAUGCUGCGGGCAGGUGCAGCCGUACGGCAUUUGUGGCAGGUGCAGCCGUACGGCAUUUGUGGUAGGUGGUGGCAGGUGGUGGCGGUGCUGGUGGCGGAAGCAAGGUCUGUGAUUUGGAGCCAAUCGGUGUGUACUGGCACCUGAUUGGAGUUGGGGUUGGGGCGCAUAACGAGCGACGCAAUUCAUGGCCAUGGCAACGCCAGGUGGUCUGCUGUGACAGCACGAUUGGGCUGUCAUACAUAAUGUCCUGCACUCGGUGGCUCCAAUGUGCAUGGAGCUGGUGCCGUGCGUGUGUGAGGAGUGUGAGGCGGGAUGUGUGGGUCCCAACUCCCGAGUACCGUAGUGCGGAGGUUCAGUUCGAUUUUACUUAUGAGGGCGGCAGGCACGCAGGGGUGCUCACUGUGGUGCAUUCCCAGCGCAAUCGGGUGCAGGUGUAUACAGUGUAUAGGGAGCUGGUUGGUAAGCAUGAUGACCUGCAUCAGGUUAAGAAAGGAGAAACAAGGCAGCGUAUCAUCACCGCCCAGGCGGGCCAGGUAGAAGUGUUGUCGUUGUCUUUGUUGUGUGUGGUUACAAGGUGGUGCGCACGACGCGCUUGCUUGUCCCUGCAGAAACCUGGGCCGGGGGCCCUUAUCACGCCAGAGAACUCACAUGUGAUCUGUGCAUAUGGGGGGGGGGGAGGCGUUGGACGCCUUGGCGCCUUGUCCAGGCACUGGCUGGGCGGGAAGCCAGAGCCCAAACGUUGCCAGGCUUGAUGCAUAAUGUAUUUACAUUUCUGACACAGCUGACAUUGUCAUAAUGCCCGAGCACGGAUUGUGAGAUGCCAGGUUUGGGCCGGAACGGUGGUCGCCGUGGCCCUUCAGAGGAGGCACGGCAUCGAGGCCAGCAUGAGGCCGACGGCACUCACUUGAGUGUUCCGUUGCUAAGAAUCUCAAUUGACUACUUAUGUUUCAAUGCACUUCUGAUGUCCCUGGCCAAACGUUGUCCUCAUAUGUCAUACUCGCCUCACUCACUCGCAAAUUGGGACGUGAAUAGCUCAUGCUUGUAACAAUGCAGACAGUAUCAAUCACUUAUGCAAAUUGAGCAACAAUUGCCACAAGUGACAAGUUCGCCGCUCGGCUCGCACAUUGCUCGGCCAUGCGACACGGCCUCUUCUUGCUCCUCUACGCCUUGGUCUUAGGCCUAUCCGGCCAUGCAUGUUACGCACAGCAAGCGGUACAGGGACAGUAUUCGUCGGAACGAAACGACGGAGUCAAAAGCCUCGCCAGUCCUCCUCCUUUCCUCCCAGGCCUCCAGGUGGGGUACUCCUGCGGCUUGCGGGGCCCUCCACGCCUCCAGAUCAACCUCGACCAACCUGCAAACCCCCUCCCCUCCCCUCCCCUCCCUAAUCAAACAGGACCGCCACCUCCUAGGCCAUCUCCCUUGAAAGGGCCAAAACCCAACUUCAUUGUCAUCGUAGCAGAUGACCUGGUGAGAUGCUGUGUCGGGCAUGGACCGCAAAAGUAGUAAAAAACACACUGCUGCAGGACUGCGGGGAGCUUUUACACAAUAUUCCACCCCCACAAGAUCCAUUUAUGUUUGCGCAUGAACUUUCACAGGACGAUGUGUACAACAGCACGGGCCCGAAGUACAUGCCAGCGCUCAACCGGCUCUUGGGAGCCGGCGGCACGCGCAUGUCCAAUUUCGUCGUGCCCACGGGUUUGUGCUGCCCCGCCCGCACCUCGUUGCUCACCGGCAAGCUGGCGCACUGCACAAAUGGUAAGUGGAGGUCCACUACAGCAGUUCUACGUGGCGCACGCAACGUAAGCCAAAAGACAGGGCGCUAGUGUGUGCCGUACAGUGUGUACGGUAGAUGUGCCAGUACGCUGCCAUGACGGCGCGGCGCAGACGCACAGCAGACGCGCACUCAAGCCUACUACUGCAAACGUUUUCCUAUGCAUGCUACAGUAACUACUAAUUAUUACCCUUCUGGCGGCUUCGUUCGGUUCUACCAACAGCAGCUGGACAGAAAGUGAGUGCUAUCUACUGCUGGGCAACCCUUUUUCAAUGUAGGGACAUCGAAAAGGAAAAAAACGUGGAGCGCCAGCAGGGGACAGGGGAGGCGGCGGACCAGGGGAGUGCCAGGGGAGGGGUAGGCGGACCAGUCAUCAUCCUCUCAUGCUGAGGCCCUUCAGUGCGACCCCGACACACGGUGGCGCCUCUUCCUCUUGACCCCGCCCCACCGCUCACUGCACACACACACACACACACACACACACACACACACACACACACACACACACACACACACACACACACACACACACACACACACACACACACACACACACAGCUGGCUGCCGGUCUGGCUCCGCGCCGCGGGCUACAACACUGGCCUUGUCGGCAAGUUCCUGAACCAGUACCUGGAGACGUACGCGCCCAGCGGCUACGCCCCCGCGGGCUUCACCCACUUCGAGGCGCUGACCGUCAACGUGCGUGCGACCCAUGCGUACAGGGCGUGCCAUGCUGCAUGGCCGCACGUGCGGUUCAUCCCAUGGCUGGGGCCGGUUUUGGUUUGGCCCGAAGCCAAGAAGGGAGCUGUGGGGCGGGCGGGCGGGGCGGGGCGUGUGAACGCGUCCGUCCUCAACGGGUGCUGGCUGCACGCUGGGUUACGGGGGGUUCCGAGCUAGGUCCGGCCCGCCGUGCACGCAGUCAUGCAUGCGGUUCCGCCUCCAUCCUUGCAUCAGCUGCGAAAACGGACUACGCACACGCACGCUGUUCGUUAAUCCUGGCCCCGCCCCCCGGCGGCCCGACCUGUCCACAGGCCUACAACAUGACAAACAGUUGUUUCUCACUCAGUGGUGCCGCCAGCACGUGCUACCCCGGGGAGUAUCAGACCGAACUCAUCAUGACCAAGGCUCUGGACUACAUCGGGUGCGUGGGUAUUGCUGGGUAGGUAGGCGUGCCAUGUAAACAUGUUUGCUGCUGCUGGGUGCUGGCGCCCUACCUCAUUACGGGCAGUGCUUACGUACCGUAAUGCGUGCAAGGCGCCUACGUGGGCAUUCCUGCAUGCGAGCAAACAUGAGGGCCGAAAUGUUCCUGCUGCUGUUUAUUUCCGCCCUUUCACGCAGCUCCUAUGCAGCCGCCAACGCGCCGUUCCUCCUCUACGUGGCGCCCACCGCGCCACACCGCUCCAGCACCGACGGCAUCCUCUGGUACCCGCCCACGCCGGCCAAACAAUAUGCAAACCUCUACUCAGCGAGCGAGGUGUGUCGAGCCGGGUGCGUGACUGGCUGGGCGGUGUACGCGCACCGGGUCCCACGCACCUUUCCAAUCACUGCAAGGCGGACGGUCCCUGGUAAGCGCACGCACGUGUGCAUGCAUGCCGCCCGUCCGCACAUGCCUGCGCAGAAUCAGGUGCCACGCGGACUCAAUUGGGACUUCCGCAACCGCAACCUGCCGCGCCGGGGCGCUGUUGCCGUCGACGCCACGUUUGAGGCCUUCAUGGACAGCCUGUACCUGUACCGCUUGCGGGCGCUGCGCUCCGUGGAUGACCUGAUCGGAUCCAUUGGUGAGCGAGCGAGCCGCUACGUGCGUGCAUGUAGUUUUCACGCUUGAUGCAGCUGCGUGCGUGAGUUUUGGUGCGUGGAGGGAGGGGCCGCCUCGGGAGGGCGUGCGUCCUGGCAAAGCCUUGUCGGCGGGUUGCUUGUCAGCAUGGACUGAUGAGGGUUGCGAAAGCACUCUCCUUACGUACCGUACGGCUGUUGGUCCCACCGAUUGAACCUGCAGUGGGCAAGCUUCAGCGGCUCGGGGUGCUCAACAACACCUACGUCAUCUUCACAUCUGACAACGGGUACGUACGUAUUUACGCCAAGCAAGCAACAGAAACAGCCUUCUCCGUCCUCUGUCCGGUCUUACAGGCACCCCGCGCCGGCUGCCCAAAACCCCUUCCACAGCUCUGUGCGUAGCAUAAUGCGCUUUGCGUGUAUUUGCCAAAUAAGCCUCAAGUAAGAGCCUUGUUUGUAUUCCAGCAAUCCUAUCGUGCCUAUCAUUAGCCUCCUUGCAACAUCCUAUCAACACAUGCAUCCCAACUUUGCAGUUACCACAUGGGCGCCUUUUCGCUGCUGGACGGCAAGAACCUGCCGAUCGAGGAAGACGUGCGAGUGCCAUUCUUCAUCCGCGGGCCCGGCAUUCCGGCGGGGCAGGUAAAAUGGAAGCGCUGCAGAGGGGCAUGGCUGCCACUUCUGGUGGUGGUGAUGACAUGGUCAGGACGGAGGAAUGUUGGCGGGAAGGGGAGCGACGCG